UGGGGAAUUUUGGACAAUGGGCGAAAGCCUGAUCCAGCAAUGCCGCGUGUGUGAAGAAGGCCUUCGGGUUGUAAAGCACUUUUGUCCGGAAAGAAAUCCUUGGCUCUAAUACAGUCGGGGGAUGACGGUACCGGAAGAAUAAGCACCGGCUAACUACGUGCCAGCAGCCGCGGUAAUACGUAGGGUGCAAGCGUUAAUCGGAAUUACUGGGCGUAAAGCGUGCGCAGGCGGUUUGCUAAGACCGAUGUGAAAUCCCCGGGCUCAACCUGGGAACUGCAUUGGUGACUGGCAGGCUAGAGUAUGGCAGAGGGGGGUAGAAUUGCCACGUGUAGCAGUGAAAGUGCGUAGAGAUGUGGAGGAAUACCGAUGGCGAAGGCAGUCCCCUGGGCCAAUACUGACGCUCAUGCACGAAAGCGUGGGGAGCAAACAGGAUUAGAUACCCUGGUAGUCCACGCCCUAAACGAUGUCAACUAGUUGUUGGGGAUUCAUUUCCUAGUAACGUAGCUAACGCGUGAAGUUGACCG
rnacentral:rRNA from 1 species